CCUGCUCCCCUUGUUUACGCUGGCGUGGAGCAAAUCUGGAGUAUCUUCGGCCCCUGGCUCGCGCCCCAUCGUCAGCUGGUUGUCCGCCGGCUCCUGCUAGAUUUGGCUUGGUGAACGCCAGAUCACUUGGAAAUAAAGCUUUUAUCCUUAAGGACUUCUUCGUUACGCGGGAGCUGGACUUUCUUUUUAUCUCCGAGACCUGGCUAAGUGCGGGCCUCAGAGCAUCCUGCAUCAUCGAAGUUACCUGCUACAAGGGAUAUUGGCUGCAAUACUGAGCCACCUCAGAGACACCAUGUUGGCACACAACUCUCUUUGAAGACUCUUCAUUCACAUUACAGAAGUGAAGUUGUCCAGGCUACUGUGUCCUUCAAGGACUCUGGCACAUCCACUGAUCCCUUCACAGGCCCAUUGCCUGUAGCAUGCUCGACACCUGUAAAGCCGCCACCAUCUAAGAGACCUCGGCUGCAGCAGCAGGAGGAGGAGGAGGAGGAGGAUUGUCUCGAGGGCAGCGCAAUACUGGCUUCUGAAGGGCUGGACGCAACCUUUCACCCUGAAGACUCGGUCACAACUUUGCCUGAGUCAACAUUCAUGUCAGAUGCUGAAUCCACAUCCAAACACGAUAUAAGGAAGUACAUAGUGUACGAGACCUGUCACAUGGAGCUGUUCGAGGUGUGUCCUGUGUGCAAGCGUGUUUGCAGUGUGAAAAACAAAGUGCUUGGGACAUUCAUAUCAGUGAAACAGCUGUGUCAGUAUUGCGAGUAUUCCCGAAUUUGGCAAAGCCAGCCUCUUCUGGAUAGCACACCAGCUGGGAACUUGCAGCUUUCUGCAGCAGUGUACAUCAGUGGAGCCUCUUUCUUCAAAAUUCAAAGGGUGUUCAAGGCGAUGCAUCUGCAGAUUUUUCUGUAUGAUACCUUUCGUCGGCAUGCCCGAAUGUUUAUAGAGCUAUUGUCCAUAAUUGUCCAUGGAACCAUUCCCAGGAUGUGAUGCUGCAGCAGCUCAGCAAAGAAAGAAAAGUAAUACUUGGUGGCGACAUGAGGGCUGAUUCUCCAGGGCACUGUGCAAAAUUUGGGAGCUACACCAUGAUGGACCUCAACACCAAAACUAUUGUUGAUCUCCAGUUGGUUCAGCAUCGUCACUGACCGUCAUCCACAAAUCCAGAAAUUUCUGAGGGACAACAACAUCACUCAAUUUUAUGACGUCUGGCACAUGGAGAAAGGAAUUAGAAAGGAACUACAUAAAAUUAGCAAAACCAAGGACUGCCAGAAGGUAAAGACGUGGAUGCGAGCCAUCAGAAACCACAUCUAUUGGACGGCGGCAUCGUCAAUAACCGGGCCGGAGAGAGUGGCAAAAUGGACCUCCCUCCUGAACCAUGUUCAGGAUAUUCAUACUCAUGAUGAUCCCCUCUUCCCAAAAUGUCUACAACCAAUUCGCAGUACAACGGACAAGAGUAGAUGGCUCUCAGGAGCAACUCCUGCAUUCUACAAGCUGGAGAAGGUGCUGACCAAGAAGACAGUCCUGAGGGAUAUAGCAAAGCUCAGUCCCCACCACCAGACGUCCUCUUUGGAGGCAUUCCACGGCGUGAUCCUGCGGUUCGCUCCUAAAAAUGUGGUCUAUCCAUUUCUAGGAAUGCUGUGCAGACUCUACCUGGCUGCACUGCAUUACAAUGAGAAUUCUGAUAGAGGACAAGCCACUACGUCAUCAGGGGAUCUUAUGUUCAGACUGACCUUUCCUAAGGCCAGGAAGGGAAGGUUUGCAGAGCCAAACCAGUGAAGACUGAGGCGACAUUCCAGUAUGUGAAUGAUUUGAUGGACAUGAUCAUGGAGAAGGUCUUUGUCGACCCAGCAUCCUACAGAGCUGAGAUUCUGAAGAUAAACAUCCCGCCGGAACUGUCUUCAGAAUAUGAGCAUCCAGACAAGGAGGAGGUCAUCGCCAGCUACGUCUCCAGAUUUAAUCAAGGGAGGGUGGUUUGAAGCCUCCGUAUCUUCCAUGGGCGUCCGGAAAUUCCCGGUGUAUGCGAAGAACCACGCAUGAUGGGAUAACAACCCGUAUCUUCCGCCCAAGGAAGCCCCAGCACCAGCUCACAAAAUUUCUGUAGGCUAAAUACCUGUAACGACUGAGAAAAUGUAACAUUGUUAGUCAACAGGUUCUACAAUGUCAACAUCUGCGUUCACAUUUUCUCAUUGAAUUCAGUGAAUUCUUCAUUUAUACUGUAUUUAGAUGCACAAAUAUUCAUAAUAAUAAUAAUAAUACAUUUAAUUUAGAGGCGCCUUUCAAGACACCCAAGGUCACCUUACAGAGC